UACGAAGGGGGCUAGCGUUGCUCGGAAUCACUGGGCGUAAAGGGUGCGUAGGCGGGUUUUUAAGUCAGGGGUGAAAUCCUGGAGCUCAACUCCAGAACUGCCUUUGAUACUGAAGAUCUCGAGUCCGGGAGAGGUGAGUGGAACUGCGAGUGUAGAGGUGAAAUUCGUAGAUAUUCGCAAGAACACCAGUGGCGAAGGCGGCUCACUGACCCGAUACUGACGCUGAGGCACGAAAGCGUGGGGAGCAAACAGG
rnacentral:rRNA from 1 species